rnacentral:rRNA from 1 species
CCUACGGGUGGCAGCAGUGGGGAAUAUUGGGCAAUGGGCGCAAGCCUGACCCAGCAACGCCGCGUGAAGGAAGAAGGCUUUCGGGUUGUAAACUUCUUUUCUCAGGGACGAAGCAAGUGACGGUACCUGAGGAAUAAGCCACGGCUAACUACGUGCCAGCAGCCGCGGUAUUACGUAGGUGGCAAGCGUUAUCCGGAUUUACUGGGUGUAAAGGGCGUGUAGGCGGGAAAGCAAGUCAGAUGUGAAAACCAUGGGCUCAACCUGUGGCCUGCAUUUGAAACUGUUUUUCUUGAGUACUGGAGAGGCAGGCGGAAUUCGGGGUGUAGCGGUGAAAUGCGUAGAUAUACGGAGGAACACCAGUGGCGAAGGCGGCCUGCUGGACAAUAACUGACGCUGAGGAGCGAAAGCGUGGGUAGCAAACAGGAUUAGAUACCCUUGUAGUC